rnacentral:rRNA from 1 species
UAGGGAAUCUUCCGCAAUGGACGAAAGUCUGACGGAGCAACGCCGCGUGAGUGAUGAAGGCUUUCGGGUCGUAAAACUCUGUUGUUAGGGAAGAACAUCCGGGAUAACCUCCCGGUCUGACGGUACCUAACGAGGAAGCCCCGGCUAACUACGUGCCAGCAGCCGCGGUAAUACGUAGGGGGCAAGCGUUGUCCGGAAUUAUUGGGCGUAAAGCGCGCGCAGGCGGCUUCUUAAGUCUGGUGUGAAAGCCCGCAGCUCAACUGCGGAGGGCCACUGGAAACUGGGAAGCUUGAGUGUAGGAGAGGAGAGCGGAAUUCCACGUGUAGCGGUGAAAUGCGUAGAUAUGUGGAGGAACACCCGUGGCGAAAGCGGCUCUCUGGCCUAUAACUGACGCUGAGGCGCGAAAGCGUGGGGAGCAAACA